UGGGGAAUAUUGCACAAUGGGCGAAAGCCUGAUGCAGCAACGCCGCGUGAAGGAAGAAGGGUUUCGGCUCGUAAACUUCUAUCAAUCGGGAAGAAAGAAAUGACGGUACCGAAAUAAGAAGCCCCGGCUAACCACGUGCCAGCAGCCGCGGUAAUACGAAGGGGGCAAGCGUUGUUCGGAAUUACUGGGCGUAAAGCGCACGCAGGCGGCGUGACGCGUCAGAAGUGAAAUCCCCGGGCUCAACCUGGGAACUGCUUUUGAAACGGUCAUGCUUGAAUCAUGGAGAGGGUAGCGGAAUUCCGAGUGUAGAGGUGAAAUUCGUAGAUAUUCGGAGGAACACCAGUGGCGAAGGCGGCUUACUGGACUGUAACUGACACUGAGGCUCGAAAGCGUGGGGAGCAAACA
rnacentral:rRNA from 1 species